AUUCCAUUCGGCCCAUGUCGUACUACAGAUGGGAUGAAUAUAGUAAGAUACGGAGAGACCCCAAAACGACGCCGGAGAGAGCUUCGCAGAUCGCCGGAGUUUGAGAUUGCACCUAACAUUGGUUAUUACAGCGACUGUUUGCUGUUGGAUGAUGUGGGCAAUCGUUUAUCUUGCGCAGAUGAAUCCACUCAUAGUCCCAAUUCUUAGUGAAGGGGAGUGA